CAAGUGUCCAAACUUAUUUGGCAUUUAUGCUGUUGAUUUUACUGUUGUCCCUAUACUUUUGCUUCUAACCAUUCUUGUCCUUAUUUCUUUUGUUCAUGCUCACUGGUAGAUCAAGUGGUGUCCUUCUCCGGGGUGUGAAUAUGCUGUUGAUUUUACUGUUGCAAGUGGAAAUUUGACUUCUCCUGCGUCUGCUCACAUAGCUUUUGUUGGAAUUGUACUGAAAAAGCUCAUCGCUAUGUUGACUGUAAGACACUGGCAAAAUGGAUUUUGAAGAAUAGUGCAGAGUCAGAAAACGAGAAUCUUUUAUUCUCGAUUUAUAUUCAUUAAUCUAAAAUUUGAAUCAAAUGCUACAACUGUUUUACUAAGGCUUGACAUAUGUUAUUCAUAUAAGUUAAUUAGAGAAAUCAAAAAGGUUCUAAACGAAA